rnacentral:rRNA from 1 species
AUUGAACGCUGGCGGCAGGCCUAACACAUGCAAGUCGAACGAGUGGCGGACGGGUGAGUAAUGUCUGGGAAACUGCCCGGUAGAGGGGGAUAACUACUGGAAACAGUAGCUAAUACCGCAUACCAUCAGAGGGGCCCAGAUUGGAUUAGCUUGUUGGUGGGGUAAAGGCUCACCAAGGCGACGAUCCCUAGCUGGUCUGAGAGGAUGACCAGCCACACUGGAACUGAGACACGGUCCAGACUCCUACGGGAGGCAGCAGUGGGGAAUAUUGCACAAUGGGCGCAAGCCUGAUGCAGCCAUCCCGCGUGUAUGAAGAAGGCCUUCGGGUUGUAAAGUACUUUCAGCGGGGAGGCGUUACCCGCAGAAGAAGCACCGACUAACUCCGUGCCAGCAGCCGCGGUAAUUC